rnacentral:rRNA from 1 species
GGGUCAGUAGGUUGGUCGUGCCACCGGUACGUACUGGUCUCACUGACUCCUCCUUCCUGAAGAACCGUAAUGCCAUUAAUUUGGUGUUGCGGGGAAACAGGACUGUUACUUUGAAAAAAUUAGAGUGUUUAAAGCAAGCUAACGCCUGAAUACAUUAGCAUGGAAUAAUGAAAUAGGACGAUCGAUCCUAUUUUGUUGGUUUCUAGGAUUGACGUA